GACGAACGCUGGCGGCGUGCCUAAUACAUGCAAGUAGAACGCUGAAGGAGGAGCUUGCUCUUCUGGAUGAGUUGCGAACGGGUGAGUAACGCGUAGGUAACCUGCCUGGUAGCGGGGGAUAACUAUUGGAAACGAUAGCUAAUACCGCAUAAGAGUAGAUGUUGCAUGACAUUUACUUAAAAGGUGCAAUUGCAUCACUACCAGAUGGACCUGCGUUGUAUUAGCUAGUUGGUGGGGUAACGGCUUACCAAGGCGACGAUACAUAGCCGACCUGAGAGGGUGAUCGGCCACACUGGGACUGAGACACGGCCCAGACUCCUACGGGAGGCAGCAGUAGGGAAUCUUCGGCAAUAGACGGAAGUCUGACCGAGCAACGCCGCGUGAGUGAAGAAGGUUUUCGGAUCGUAAAGCUCUGUUGUAAGAGAAGAACGAGUGUGAGAGUGGAAAGUUCACACUGUGACGGUAUCUUACCAGAAAGGGACGGCUAACUACGUG
rnacentral:rRNA from 1 species